rnacentral:rRNA from 1 species
UACGUAGGGUGCAAGCGUUAAUCGGAAUUACUGGGCGUAAAGCGUGCGCAGGCGGUUUUGUAAGUUUGUCGUGAAAGCCCCGGGCUCAACCUGGGAAUUGCGAUGAAGACUGCAAGGCUUGAAUCUGGCAGAGGGGGGUAGAAUUCCACGUGUAGCAGUGAAAUGCGUAGAGAUGUGGAGGAACACCGAUGGCGAAGGCAGCCCCCUGGGGUCAAGAUUGACGCUCAUGCACGAAAGCGUGGGGAGCAAACAGG